GCGGAUUAUCUGUGUGCAUAUAAAUACCAUAGUACACUCUAGUGCCAUGCUGGGGAUGACAACCUAGUAUUGAAGUGGUGUUAGCAAGUGUCAACACUCUCCUUAAAAGAGCUCAAAGAAAAACAUGAUAAACUUGAGAGUGUGCAUGAUGAGCUUAUCACUAGAUAUAGAGCUUCGAAGGAACAGCUUGCAACUCUAAAAGCAAACUAUGACAACCUUGAGAUAGCUUAUUGUUGACGAUCCUUAAGUACUAAAUUUAACCGUCAACUAAACAUGGAAAAGGAUCAAUAUGUACCAAACAUCUAGAAUUAGGGUUUUAUCUGACAGAAUUCCACGAGCUUUGGUGUGUGUCUAUUUCUACAGGGGGUUUUCAGAAAAUAUGGAGAGAAGGCCCACAUGUCAGGUUUACAACGAGAUAACUACGUGUCGUGCAAAUUUCUUUAAUCUAGAAGAGUCCAGAAGCCACAGGAAUGAACGGGAGGCCGAUCGGGCCCGGGUGCAGGGCGCCCUCCCUCCCCCUUGGGCGCCUGCCCUGCCCUGGUGGCCAAUCAGAGCAGGUCUCGCGGAUCGUGCUCCACCGCCUCUAAUCUUCAAGAAUAACCGUGCGAUCAAUGUCGGUUUGAUCCGAUGGCCCAAAUUCAUCUGAGGGGGCUAUAUAAGCAAGGCCUCUCCACCCCAGGGGAGUAGGAGAAAUCAAUAUCAGAGGAAGCCAUCAAAGUUAGGGUUUAGGAACUUCUCUCCCACAGAGAAUUAGAAUUACCUACUCCCAAUUCCUUCAAGUUCUAUAGGAUUGAUUAGAUAGAAUUAGAGAAGUAGAGCCUAGCGCUCUGGAUUAUGGAUCUUCAUCAAUAAAGAUUGGUAUUAUUUUAUCUUUCUCUACUACUUUAUUCUAAUUACAUUAUGUCUCUAUUUAUUAUGUUCUUAGUUUACUCUAGUCCUAUAUUUGAUAUAGUUAUGAUUGAUAAUGAGUUUAUGUAUAAGUUUGCAAAACGCUUAGCUCUUGACGCGCGGGAGUUAAGUGGUAGAUCACAUGUGGGCGUGGUGCUUAGAUGUUAUUUACCUGCAAAUGUAUCCUAUUGGCUGGGUCAUGUGGUAGUUCGCGAUAGUGACAGCUUCGUUGAUUCUUAUAUAGUCCACCCACCGUUGAUAGGACAGGCAGAAUUUGUAUUGCGGAGUAAGUCUUGCGAUGUUCUGAUUUACUUUAGCAAUGUUCCUUAUACAUGAAUGAAGAGUCUUUUAUGCUAUAUAUGAUCUUGAGAUAAAUAGAGUAGAUUAUGACUUAGUAGGUAGUAGAUUACUUAGAAUCCAUUCUCUAGCUAAUCCGACGUCACCUUACAUAUAUGAGGAGUAGUCUAUUUUCUCAUCGCUGUGUUAUUUACCCAUGAGCUUAUAUUUCAUUGUCAUUAUUAUUAUGGCUUACCCCUUGCCAAAGCAAGUGACUGUGUGACGAGUUUAUCAUUAGUAAUCAUGUUCUUACAAGAUUAUCUCUAGUCUAUGCCUUGAUAGAUUUUACCCCUGUUUUCACUUUCACCCUUCUCUUACGCAAAAUUAUAAAUAACAAUACCCGGAAUACUUUCCUAGUGAAAUGCUACAAUGAGGUUUUUUAUCUAUGCGCUUGCGGAUAGAAUAGAUUAUUUUCUAGAGAGCCUUUACAUUCAUAAAUACCUUUGUACACUCUGGCACCAUGCUGGGGAUGACAACCUAGUAUCCAAGUGGUGUUAGUAAGUAUCAACAAGCAUUUCUGGCGCCGUUGCCGGGGAGACGGUAAGAAAAGUCACGAAGUCAGUCAAGGUUAUUCACAUAAAAUAUUAGACUAGACUAUGGAGAAAUAAUUGCAUAAAACAGCUACUAAGUGAGAAAUCAUAACAAGGCACCUCUGCUUUGGCAGGUUCACCCUGUUGUUUUUUUCUAUGUUUAUAUUUUUAUACAGGGUAUAUCAGGAUUGACUUUGGUACAUUCAACUCUUCAUCAUCAGAACCAAAGCAAUCAAGAAAGAAAGAAGAAGCUACCUAACAAUUGCUGAAGAUAUGGCACAAAAGACCUUGCAAGAAUUCUGUGCUCCAAGUCUUAAGAACAUUCCAAGUGGUCCAAGAUUUGCACUAGAAGAAGGAGCACCCGAGUUCGAGCUCAAGUCAAGCCUCAUCAAUUUGUUACAAGCUACACAAUUCAGUGGAAAGGCACAUGAAGAUGCUAGUGCACACUUGCAGAAUUUCUUAGAGAUUGGAAGCACAAUCCGUAUCAAUGGAGUCGACAAAGACGUCAUACUGCUUCGCCUCUUUCCAUUCUCACUAGAAGGGAAAGCAAGGAAGUGGUUCUACACCCAUCAAGAUAACAUCAACAACUGGAUGAACUUGUUAGAUGCCUUUCUAUCAAAGUUUUUCAUUAUAGGAAAAACAGCUGCCUUAAGAGUAAAUAUUGUCAGUUUCCAACAACAGAAGACAAAAACCAUUCCUGAAGCAUGGGAGCGCUUUCAAGGAUAGAUAUCAGAUUGUCUGCACCAUGGAAUGGCUAAAUGGUUACUUAUGCAGACCUUCUACCAUGGAUUAACCCAGAAGGCUCGUGAAUGCCUAGAUGCAUCUGCUAAGGGAUCAUUUUUGGAGCUUACAAUUGGAAAAGCAGAGAUACUUUUGGACAAUAUAGCAGAAAACCAAAGCUGGUUCCAAGAUAAAGCUCUGCUUUGUCAUCAAACUGAAGAAAUACCAGAAGAAGUAAAUGCACUAUCAACCAAGAUGGAAAAUUUGCUUCAUUGGAUUCACCAGAGGGCCAAGUUCAAAGAAGAUCAAAGGGCCAGUGAGACAGUAUACAAAUAUCAAGCUACUUUGAGUCAACCAGUAGCAAAGGUAUGAAUUCAGGUAACACUUUCAAGCAACUUUCAUUAAAAGAGAUAAUUUCUCAAUAAACCAAAACUAAUGAUGAAGUUAAACAAAGGCUAGAUACCAAUGAAUCAACACCAAAAAAUAUACACAAUAAAAUGGAUUUUCUAUUAACUGCCUUUGAUGAGCAAAACACUCUUAAUAAAAGGGUAGAGCUUAAAUUAAUAAAGCUAGCUGCUGCAUUGCCUGUUGCCACUAACAUUGAGCAGGUAAAGAACAUAACUACUAGGGGAGGCAAAGCCACUAGGGAUCCCCCAUACCCAAAAGAGAAACAGAGAACAUCAGCACCAGUGCAACCAGCAGGGAUUGAAGAAGAAAACCCAAUUGAAGCAGAAGAUCUGCUACAACCACCAAGUACUGGAGAAAUGAGGAAAGAUUUUUACGACACCAACUAUUUGCCAUUUCCAAAAGAAACAGAGGAUUACGGUCGGAUGAGUAGUUUGGUAAGUUUGUAGAGGUCAUUCAGAAAUUUUAUGUCAACAUACCUCUACUUGAUGCCAUACAGGUACCCACAUAUGCAAAGUACAUGUUGGCUAUUCUUAACGUCAUUACCAAAAGUAGACUUAGUUUUCUAAUUCUGAUAACGGCGCCAAAAAUGCCAAACCUAUCUAUCAUACCACUUAAGCCAAGUUGUCAUCCCCACCAUGACAUAAGAGACGCGGUAUUGAAAUAUGCAAUUGCUCAUCUAAAUAAAUAACAAAUGGGAUCUGCAAGCGCACAGAUUAAUACCGAUGUAGCAUUUUAACCGUGAAGUAUUCCAGGUAUCGUUAUUUAUAUUUUUACCACUGGGAAGGGAUUAGCAAUCAUCAAUGUUGAUUAUAGAAUGGAAUAUAAGAUUGAGUAUCUAUCAUUGCAUGUAUAAUUGAGAACAUUUAUCUAACUCUUUCAUACAGGGAUAAGUGCCACAUAAAGGAUAUAAAGUAAUGAAUAGUGAGAAAGAUAAUUAAUCUGAUCAGCAUAACUUAGCCACAUAUAAAUAUGAUAAGCACCUCAAUUAGAUAUUCUAGCAAGUCAUUAGCAUGGAAUUAGGAUGAAAUAUAAGAAUAUUUCCUAAGUUAUUCUUAACUAUACAAUCUAGCAUAUCAUAGUUAGUGUAAUUAUACUUAGCAAUCAUUGUGAGACACGACUACGCCCAUGCAUAGUGAUAUUAGCAAGGAAUAUGAGAAACAUCACAAUCACUCCCCUGUAAUAAUGUUGCUCUGCCAGCCCAAUACACGAGAGGGGGACUAUAUAAGAAUCAAUGGAGUUGUCACUACCACGAACUACCCCGCUAUGUGGCAUAUAGGGUACAAUUGUAGAUAAAUACGGUAUAAGCACCACGCCUACACAAUAUCUAUGAUUUACCCAUGGAUCCAAUGGAUAAACGCUAUACGAUCCUAAGCAUGUAUAUAGAUCCAAUCUAACUAAGACAAGUAUAUAACUAUGAUAAACUAAGAACAAUAUAAUUGCGAAUAUAAAAAAGUAGAGUAAAGUCAUAACGAAUAUAUUGAAGUAGAACAAAGUCAUAUUCAUAAUAUCGAAGAACAAAGAUGAACAAUUGAAGAACAAUAGAGAAUUACCAAGAAUCCUCUUGAGAGAUCCGGAAACCAAUCGAAGAUUGACUCCUUCUAGUUCUAAUCCUAUGUAGCUAUGCUAAUUUAGAUAUCUAAUUGAUGUGGUUGCUCUAGGGCUUGAUCAGAGGCUUCUUCUCCCUUGAUGAAUAAUGAAUUAGGGUUGGAGGUCCCCUCCUCCAGGGGCGAGGGGGUAUGGUUUUAUAGUCCUUCCAAGUUAAUAUGGGCCGUCGGAUCAAACCGACAUUGAUUGAACGGUUAUCCUUGAUCCUUUUGGAGCGUAAUCCCAAAAGAGAGUCCUGAUUGGACUCCAGAGGGGGGCGGGCGCCCUGGGAUAGGCCCGGUUCUGCCUCCGCUUCGUUCCCGUGGCUUCUGGAGUCUUCUAGAUGUAAGAUAAUUGCGCGGUACGUUAAUAUCUCUAUGUAAUCCCGACGUGUGGGCCUUUCUUCCGUAUUUCCUGAUAACCCCUUGCAGAAAUAGACAAACACUAAAACUCGUGGAAUUCUGUCAGAUAAAACCCUAAGUUUGGAUGUUGAUUUUAUUUGGAUCCUUUUCUUUGUUUAUUUGAUAAUUAAAUUUGAUACUUAAGGACCGUCAACAAACUCCCCCAAGCUUACCUCUUGCUCGUCCCUAAGCAAGGAUAAUCUCAGUGAUGGAUCAGAAGUUGUUAUAAUGCCUUUAAAAAUUGACGGUACACAUGCUUUUAAAUAAGAUCUCAUCUCUGAGUUAGAGUAAACUAUCAUGACUUAAAACUUAUUCAUUUUACCUUUCACCAUGGGACUUGUAACCGUCACUUCUGUCUUGAGUAGUUAAAAGAUAGAACAGUCUAGUCAAGUGCCAUGUCUCUUAUUCAUGAUUAGCUAUAGCUCUAAAGUUUUUUGCAGAUUUUCAAAUAAAACUCAGAGAUUCCUUAUAUGACUAUCUCAGAUCUCUCUUUUGUGGUAUUUGUGGAUCCUUACCAAGGCAGUGAUGGUAUAUGCCUUCUCUCAAAAUAUAUAGUAUUUGUGGUAUAAGGCAUAGUGAUAUUGCCUUCUCUCUCAUCCUAUUCUAAUAAGUCUUUAAUAUCUGGAGCUCAUAGGUGGGAGAUAAAGUAUACAUACUCACAAGACAUUUAUUGUAUAGUCAAACCAUGGAUCCAAAGAAACAAAUCAAUAAGUCAAAUCAAGAUGUGCUUGUGUGGCGAAUGAAUGGUGUAUGGUGAUGAUGGUGAUAACAAUGGUGAAAGUCUAAUUCUACUUUUGCUCUUUGAGGGGAUACAUACCUUCCUUGCUCUUUGAAACUUUCUGAGGAGAAUGAGAUGCUCUCUCUUUUCUUUUUCUUUCCUCUCAGGUGGGUAUCUUGUACCCCUAAUUCUACUAUCGGACACUUGUCCAUUUUUACCUCUCGUCUCACUUUUUUCUUUUCUUUCGAGGUUCUGGGCACUUGCCCCUUUUUAUCUCCUCGUAUCUUCUUUUUUUAGAGCACUCAUCUCCUGAAAUAAUAUAGCAAGUGGUAGUAACAAGAUAACUUGAGCAUUUAUUUCACAGGGGAAAGCAUAAAUGUUUUUGGCUAUUCUCUCCCGGAUUAGGAGUAGAAUAUUUUUGGGUGGUUAUGGAGAUGGAAAUGGGUGGAUAUAUGUGGAUGCGUACUUCCGGAGUAGAAGCAGCAUGUGUGAGUGAACGUGCAAGUGAGUCUUGAUUUAACCACAUGACAAGCUCCUAAGGGUCUACACAGCUUGACCACACUCAAUGCUUAUAAGCAGUAAAGUAAAUGUGUAGCUCAAAGUCUAGCAAGCAUGUAUAUAUGGCUGUGGUAGGAAUUUAAACUCUCAUCAUACAAGAACUCAUCAUGCAACAUUUGAAAGGUUUUCAAAGAUAAAAUUCUCCAGAAUUCUAGCAUCUCUAGGAACAGAUAAACAGCAGCUCAACCUUCCCAUAUCAUAUCCGUUAACAACCUAGACUUCAGAUCAAGUUUUCUUCCCACAAGUUUAGGUUUAGAGCAAGCUUUCAAUUAUAACAGUUAUGUCUAAACUUAAGAGAGAACUUCAAAAAUUUAAAAAAAAUUAGGCAGAGCAACUAUUAUAUCCAUUCUAGAGUUUUAUUAUUAAGAUUCAGUUUAGCAUAGCUACUUUAUUUAUUUAUUAAGCACACUAAGCAAAAGAUAUAUAUAUAUAUAUAUAUAUAUAUAUAUAUAUAUAUAUAUAUAAGCACAAAAUUUUUAUUUAUUUUUUCAUAGUUAUGCAUAUUUAUAUUUUAAUAUAGUAUAUGUAUAAAGAUAGAUAGAAAUACUUAGCGGGAUAAAUGGGGGUCCUCUCCUCCAAGCAAAAUUUUGACGUAAUUUCUUUUGAUGUAGCUAGCAGGUGGCAGAGGUGUAUUUGAAAGUCGGCAGCACCCUAACAGCGUUUAGAAUGUCCUCCGUUUGCUAGUCUUCUUGAUUCUUAAAUUCUGUGGAGCUCAAAUAGACAACAAAGCUUUGUGGAACUGAUUAGGUGUUAGCACGAAUAUUUAGCCUUUAUCAUGUUGAGACUCCUUAAUAAAUAUUACUCCCUAUUUUUAUAUUUUCAUUUUAUAGAGCAAAAAAAAAUAUUUAUUUUAUUUUUAUGCCACCACAGUGAAUGUACUUAUGGGUUUCAUGCCACUCGUAUACUCACAUAGGGCUUAUUGUUUUUUAACAUUUUUAUUUUCUUUUAGGAUAGUAUGAACAUGAUUAACUAAGCAAAUUGUUUAAAAUAAUUAAAAGGAAAGUAUAACUACCAAGUUUACCUCUUGGCAAGACGUUUGGUGUUUUUAACUCCUCCGAACGGUACUCUCUGUUUUCUAGUUGUCCUCAAGUUCAUUGGGUGGCGUAGUCGGUGCUUCCGGCGGCGCCUCUUCUUCGUGUAUAGUUAUCUUCUCUCUCCACACCUGACUCGGUGCUACGGUCUCCUCUAGAUAAUUCUGUUUAAGCUGUAUGUCUUCUGAUCUUAUCACUUCUCCUUCGUAGUCUGCCCAUCCGUCCUUGAUGAUUUGCCUCCUCUGGUUGCGGUUGCGUUGUUUUCUUCUUGUCCUGGCCUGCUUAGAGUCUUCAACUAUAUAGUUAGGGUCAGUAAAAUAGCGGUGUACCUUCUCUGAGGGGAAGUGCAUAUGGACUUCUCUAGUUCCAAUGUAGAUGAUUGCUUUAACGGUGUUGAGGAACGGUCUUCCAAGGAUGAUGGGUGGAUCAUAUUCAUCUUCUCCCAUGUCAAUAACCUGAAAGUCUGUGUAGACAAAAUGAUCGUCUAUUUUGACAGGGACAUCAGUUACUAUACCUUUAACCUCUCGAAAUGUCUAAUCUGCCAUCUGGAGCUGAAUGUAUGUUGGUUUUAGGGGCAUGGUUCCGAACAAGAGCCGAUAGGUGACUGCGGCCAUUAUGUUGACGCCCGAUCCGGUGUCGCAAGUCGUCUUGUAGAAGUUGUAUCCAUUUAUGGAGCAAUAGAUGCUUGGCAUUCCUGGGUCGUCCUUCUUGGGGUAGAAACAGUGACUUAAGUCGAUGAUCUUGUCCUUCAUGAACUGCAGUGACCAUCUUAGCUGACUCGGUCCACACUUGCUUGUUCCUAUUCCUCCUGUUGGUCCUUUUCGUUGAUUCAUGUCGGGAUUGCUCCGGGAUUUGUGUAGUCUUGUUCUUGAAGGAAAACGUCUCCUUCCUCCCUUUGAUGUAGAAACUGAUCUUGGCAGCACUAGCGUAGAUGACAGCUUCCGAGGUGUUUAAGAAUGGCCUCCCUAAGAUGAUGGGUGCCCUCUCAUCAUUACCGGUCUCUAUCACCAAGAAGUCUGCUGGGGCGUACAAGGUACCGACUCAGACACAGAGGUUCUUCAAUAUUCCUUUUGGAAAACUUAUCGUCUGAUCUGCAAACUGCAAACAUAUGGUUGUUUCUAAUAAAUGAUAUGUAAACUUUUUUUCAUAGAGUACCCUGGGCAUAAUGUUGAUGUUGGAGCCAAAGUCGCAGAGUGCUUCUGGGAAGUCCACCAUGCCGAUGGAGAUCGGGAUGACGGGGCGUCCUGGAUCACCUCUCUUGACCGGUAGAAGGUCAGUAGUAACUUCAGUGAUGGAGUUACUCUAGUAAUUACCUGCAUCAAACAUGUCUACAAGAUUGGCAGAUUCUAAUCCUUCCGGUUGUGAUGGUAUACCGGGGUUAGUAGCAGGAACAGCAGCAGCUAUCUGAUUUAACUGAGAUUCAAUCAUCUUAUUAAAGCUAAUUUGAUUCUUGAUGGCAGCAGAGAAAUUAUCCAUUCUAUUAUUUAUAUUUUCUAGCAUUUUAUCAUUGGAUGCCAAUUUAUUAGAUAGGUUAUCCAUUAGCUUUCCUUGAUUAGACACUAACUCUCUCACAGGUGGAAAAUUAUUAUUAUUGUAAGAAUUGUCACCUUGAUAAUUACCUGAGUAGUUAGGCCUCUGUUGAUUCCAACCUUGAUUUUGUUGAGGACGGUUGUAAUAGUAGUUGUUGUUAUUGUUGAUGCAGUUCACAUCCUCAAGCAUCUUAGGGCAGUGAUUGCCUGAGUGUCCAGUAUCUCCACACUCCUCACAAGUCAUGUGAGAGUCGUAGAUGUGCAUAACUUCUUUCUUGUCUCUAGCUCUAUCAUCGACCUUCUUCAUGAGCAGGUCUAGCUUGGCACACAGCAUGCCUACCUCCUUGAGCUGAUGCAUACCUCCACCUUUCUUGCGUGUCUGGGUCCUCUCUUCAUUCCAGCCUUGCUUGGACGCCAUCUUCUCUACAAGAGCUGUGGCUUGUGAUAUGGUAAGUGAUAGGAAUGCUCCUCCAGCUGCAGCAUCCAUGGUCUCUCGGGCACUAUUGCCGAGCCCAUGAUAAAACGUCUGCAUCAGUAGCCAACUCUCCAUUCCAUGAUGGGGACAUUCUAGGAUGUAGUCUUAGAAGCGCUCCCAUGCUUCUAGAACGGAUUCAUCAUGUUGUUGCUGAAAACUUGUAAUCUUCCCACGGAGAGCAUUGGUCUUGCCCAUGGGAAAGAACUUAGCCAGAAAGUUCGUGGAGCACGUAGUAUUCUUCUCCUUUGUAGCGUAGAACCACUGCUUCUCUCUUCCUAACCGUGAGAAUGGGAAGAGGCGAAGUAGUAUAGCAUCUCUGGGGACUCCUGAUAUGGUGAAUGUGCUGCAAAUCUCCAGAAAGCGUUGGAGAUGAGCACUAGCAUCUUCGUGUGCCUUCCCACAUAACUGAUUGGAUUGUAUCAUGUUGAUAAGUCCAGGCUUGAGUUCAAAGUUGCCAUCGAUUUGUUCUCCAUGGCUUCGAACUCUAAAGACAAGUUCUGGUGAUCUUCUUGAUUGGAUGAAGCUUCUUGCUGAAGUGUUGAUGAUCUCUUCUUGAGCUUGGCUCUUGUUUUUCUGAAUAAUGCUUCGGGAUUGUGAAAAAAAUUUCCUAAAAGAUGUCUUCUAUUCAUACAUUACCCUGCAUAAGAUAAAAUAGAGAAAUAUCGGGGUAAAACUGUAUGAGAGAAUUGAUAAGCUCAAUCAUAUUAGUGAUGCGAAUGAUAACUCAAAAUUCUAUAUUCAUUCCUGAUUAGUAAUUAACCUUCCCCGGCAACGUUGCCAAAAAUGCUUGUUGGGUAUUCUUAACGUCAUUACCAAAAGUAGACUUAGUUUUCUAAUUUUGAUAACUGUUGGAUAUUCUUAACAUCAUUACCAAAAGUAGACUAAGUUCUCUAAAUCUAGUAACGGUGCCAAAAAUGCCAAACCUAUCCCUCACACCACUUAAGCCAAGUUGUCAUCUCCAGCAUGAUAUAAGAGACGUGGUAUUGAAAUAUGCAAUUUCUCUUCUAAAUAAAUAAUGAAUGGGAUCUGCAAGCGCACAGAUUAAUACCGAUGCAGCAUUUUAACCGGGAAGUAUUCCAGGUAUCGUUAUUUAUAUUUUUACCACUGGGAAGGGAUUAACAAUCAUCAAUAGUGAUUACAGAAUAGAAUAUGAGAUUGAGCAUCUAUCAUUGCAUGUAUAAUUGAGAACAUUAUAUCUAACUUUUCAUACAGGGAUAAGUGUCACAUAAAGGAUAUAUGAAAUAAUAAUAGUGACAAGGAUAACUAAUUUGAUCUAGCCACAUAAUAAAUAUGAUAAGCACCUCAAUUAGAUACUCUAGAAAGUCAUUAGCAUGGUAUUAGAACGAACUACAAGAAUAUUCCCGAAGUUAUUCUCAACUAUAUAGUCUAGCAUAUCAUAGUUAGUGCAAGCAUACUUAGCAAUCAUUGCGAGACAAGACUACGCCCAUGCAUAGUGAUAUUAGCAAGGAAUAUGAGAAACAUAGCAAUCACUCCCCUGUAAUAAUGUUGCUCUGCCAGCCCAAUACACGAGAGGGGGACUAUAUAAGAAUCAAUGAAGCUGUCACUAUCACGAACCACCCCACGAUCUGGCAAAUUGGGUACAAUCGCAGAUAAAUACGGUAUAAGCACCACGCCUACACAAUAUCUAUCAUUUACCCAUGGAUCCGAUGGAUAAACGCUAUACGAUCCUAAGCAUGUAUAUAGAUCCAAUCUAACUAAGCCAAGUACAUAACUAUGAUAAACUAAGAACAAUAUAAUCUUGAAUAUAAGCAAGUAGAGCAAAGUCAUAAGCAAUAUAUUGAAGUAGAACAAAGUCAUAUUCAUAAUAUUGAAGAACAAAGAUAAUUAGAAAGCAAUUAGAAGCACAAUUAGAGAAUUACCAAGAAUCCUCCUGACAGAUCUGGAAACCAAUCGAAGAUUGACUCCUUCUAGUUCUAAUGCUAUGUAGCUAUGCUAAUCUAGAUAUCUAAUUGAUGUGGUGGCUCUAAUCUUGAUCAGAGGCUUCUUCUCCCUUGAUGGAACAAUGAAUUAGGGUUGAGAGGCUCUCUCCUCCAGGGGCCAGGGGGUCUGGUUUUAUAGUCCCUUCAAGUGAAUAUGGGCCGUUGGAUCAAACCGACAUAGAUUGUAUGGUUUAGAUUCAUCCUUUAGGUCGGUGGAAAUCUCCCGCAAAGCAGAGUCCUGAUUGGACUCAGGAGGUGGGCGGGCGCCCUGACCAAAUGGGCGGGCGCCCAGGGUUAGGCCCCGUUUCGCCUCCGCUUCGGUCUCGUGGCUUCUGGAGUCUUCUAGAUGUAAGAUAAUUGCGCGGCACGUUAAUAUCUUUACGUAAUCCCGACGUGUGGGCCUUUCUUCCGUAUUUCCUGAUAACUCCCUGCAGAAAUAGACAAACACCAAAACUCGUGGAAUUCUGUCAGAUAAAACCCUAAGUCUAGAUCUUGAUUUCAUUUGGAUCCUUUUCUUUAUUUAUUUGAUAAUUAAAUUUGAUACUUAAGGACCGUCAACAAACUCCCCCAAGCUUACCUCUUGCUCGUCCCUGAGCAAGGAUAGACGCAGCUAUGGAUCAUAAGUUGUUGCAAUAUCUUUAAAAAUUGACGGUACACAUGCUUUUUAAAUAAGAUCUCAUCUCUAAGUUAGAGUAAACUGUCAAGACUUAAAACUUACUUACUUUACCUUCACUACGGGACUUGUAACCGUCACUUCUGUCUUAAGUGGUUAAAAGAUAAAACAGUCUAGUCAAGUGCCAUGUCUCUUAUUCUUGAUCAGCUAUAGCUCUGGGUUUUUUUUUUUGCAGAUUUUCAAAUAAAACUCAGAGAUUCCUUGUAUGAUUCUCUCAGGUCUAUCUUUUGUGGUAUUUCUGGAUCCUUACCAAGCCAGUGAUGGUAUAUGCCUUCUCUCAAGUUAUGUAGUAUUUGUGGUAUAAGGCAUAGUGACAUUGCCUUCUCUCUCACCCUACUCUAAUAAGGCUUUAAUAUCUGGAGCUCAUAGGUGGGAAAUAAAGUAUACAUACUUACAAGACAUGUAUUGCAUAGUCAAACCAUGGAUCCAAAGAAACAAGCCAAUGAGUUUAAUCAAGAUGUGCAUGUGUGGCGAAUGAAUUAUAUAUGGUGAUGAUGGUGAUAACAAUGGUGAAAACAAUGGUGGUGGAAGUCUAAUUCUACUUUGCUCUUUGAGGGGAUACAUACCUUCCUUGCUUUUUAAAACUUUAUGAGGAGAAUGAGAUGCUCUUCUUUUUCUUUUCUCUCAGGUGGGUAUCUUGCACCCCUAAUUCUACCGUCGGACACUUGUCCAUUUUUACCUCUCGUCUCACCCUCUCUUUUCUUUCGAGGUUCCGAGCACUUGCUCCUUUUUAUUUCCUCGUGUUUCUCUUCUUCUUUUUUCAGAACAUUCAUCUCUUGAGAUAAUAUAGCAAGUGAUAGUAACAAGAUAACUUGAGCAUUUAUUUCACAAGGGAAAACAAAAAUAUUUUUGGUUAUUCUCUCCUGGAUUAGGAGUAGAAUAUUUUUAGGUGGUUCUGGAGAUGGAAAUGGAUGGAUAUAUGUGGAUGGUACUUCCGGAGUAGCAUAUAUGAGUGAACGUGCAAGUGAAAUCUUGAUUUAACCACAUGACAAGUUCCUAAGGGUCUACACAGCUUGACCACACUCAAUGCUCAUAAGCAGUAAAUAGUAAAUGUGUGGCUCAAAGUCUAGCAAGCAUGUAUAUAUGGCUGUGGUAGGAAUUUAAACUCUCAUCAUACAGGAACUCAUCAUGCAACAUUUUAAAAGAUUUUCAAAGAUAAAAUUCUCCAGAAUUCUAUCAUCUCUAUGAACAGAUAAGCAGCAGCUCAACCUUCCCAUAUCGUAUCCGUUAACUACUUAGACUUCAGAUCAAAUUUUCAUCCCAUAAGUUUAGGUCUAGAGCAAGCUUUAAAUUAUAACAGUUAUAUCUAAUCUUGAGAGAGAACUUAAAAUGUGCAAAUUAGGCAGAGCAACUAUUCAUCAUAUCCAUGCUUAAGUUUUAUUUAGAUACAGAUUAGCAUAGCCACUUUAUUUAUUUAUUAAACACACUAAGCAAAAGGCAAAUAUAUAAGCACAAAAUCUUUAUUUGGUUUUUCAUAGUUAUGUAUAUUUAAUAUUCUAAAAUAAUAUAAGUAUAAAGAUAGAUAGAUAGAAAUACUUAUCGAGAUAAAUGGGGGUGCUCUCCCCAAAGCUGAAUUUUGACGUAAUUUCUCUUGAUGUAGCUAGCAGGUGGCAGAGGUGUAUUUGAAAGUCAGCAGCAUUCUGACAGCGAUUAGAAUGUCCUCCGUCUACUAGUCUUCUUGACUCUUAAAUUAUGUGGAGCUCAAAUAGACAACAAAGCUUGUGGAACUGAUUAAGUGUUAGCAUAAAUAUCUAGCCUUUAUCAUGUUGAGACUCCUUAAUAAUUAUUACUCCCUGUUUUUAUAUUUUCAUUUUAUAAAGCAGAAAUGAAAUAUUUAUUUUAUUUUUAUGCCACCACAGUGAAUAUAGUUAUGGGUUUUAUGCCACUCGUAUACUCACAUGGGGCUUACUGUUUUUUUAUAUUUUAUUUUCUUUUUAAGAUAGUACGAACAUGAUUAACUAAGUAAACUAUUUUAAAUAAUUGAAAUAAUUGAAAGGGAAAGGAUAACUACCAAGUUUACCUCUUGGCAAGGCGUUCGGUGUUUUUAAGUCCUCCGAACGGGACUCUCCAUUUUCUUAAUCAUCCUGAGGUUCGUUGGGUGGCGUAGUCGGUACUUCCGGCAGCGCCUCCUCUUCUUGUAUAGUUAUCUUCAUUUUCCAUACCUGACUCGGUGCUUCAAUCUCCUCUGGAUAAUUCUGUUUAAACUCAACAUCUUCUGACUUUACAACUUCUCCUUCAUAGUCUGCCCACCCGUCCUUGAUGAUCUGCCUCCUCUGGUUGCGGUUGCGUCUCUUUCUGACCUACUUAGAUUCCUCAACGAUAUAGUCAGGGCCAGUAAAAUAACAGUGUACCUUCUCUGAGGGGAAGUGCAUAUGGACUUCUCCGGUUCCAAUGUAGAUAAUUGCUUUAACGGUGCUGAGGAACGGUCUUCCAAGAAUGAUGGGUGGAUCGUACUCAUCUUCUCCCAUGUCAAUAACCUGAAAGUCUGUGUAGACAAAGUGAUCGUCUAUUUUGACUGGGACAUCAGUUACUAUUCCUUUAACUUCUCGAAAUGUCUGAUCUGCCAUCUGGAGCUGAAUGUAUGUUGGUCUUAGUGGCAUGGUCCCGAACAAGAGCCGAUAGGUGACUGCGGCUAUUAUGUUGACGCCCGAUCCGGUGUCACAAAAUGCCUUGUAGAAGUUGUAUCCAUUUAUGGAGCAGUAAAUGUUUGGCAUUCCUGGGUUGUCCUUCUUGGUCAAAAGCGGUGACUUAAGUUGGUGAUCUUGGCCUCCAUGAACUACAGUGACCAUCUUAGCUGACUCGGUCUACACUUGCUUGUUCCUGUUCCUCCUGUUGGUCCUCUUCCUUGAUUCACGUCUAGAUUGAUCUGGAAUUUGUGUAGUCUUGUUCUUGAAGAAAAAUGUCUCCUUCGUCCCUUUGACGUAGAAACUGAUCUUGGCAGCACUGGCGUAGAUGAUAGCUCCCGUGGUGUUCAAGAAUGGCCUCCCUAAGAUGAUGGGUGCUCUCUCAUCAUUUCCGGUCUCUACCACUACGAAGUCUACUGGGGCAUAUAAGGUACCAACUAGGACACAAAGGUUCUUCACUAUUCCUUUUGGAAAAGUUAUCGUCUGAUCUGCAAACUGCAAACACAUGGUUGUUUCUAAUAAAGGAUAUGUAAAGAUUUUUUCAUAGAGUACCCUGGGUAUAAUGUUGACACUGGAGCCAAAGUCGCAGAGUGCUUCUGGAACGUCCACCAUGCCGAUAGAGAUCGGGAUGACGGGGCGUCCUGGAUCGCCUCUCUUGACCGGCAGAAGGUCAGUAGAGAAUUCAUUGACGGGGUUACUCCAAUUACCUGCAUCAAACGUGUCUACAAGAUUUGCAGAUUCUAAUCCUUCCGGUUCUGAUGGUAUUCCGGGGUUAGUAGUAGGAACAGCAGCAGCUAUUUGAUUUAACUGAGAUUCAAUCAUUUUAUUAAAGCUAAUUUGAUUCUUGAUGGCAGUAGAUAAAUUAUCCAUUCUAUUAUUUAUAUUUUCUAGCAUUUUAUCAUUAGAUGCCAAUUUCUUAGAUAGGUUAUCCAUUAGCUUUCCUUGAUUAGACACUAACUCUCUCAAAGGUGGAAAAUUAUUAGCAUUAUUGUUGUAAGAAUUGUUACCUUGAUAAUUACCUGAGUAGUUAGGCCUCUGUUGAUUCCAACCUUGAUUUUGUUGAGGACGGUUGUAGUAGUUGUUGUUGUUGUUGCUGAUGUAGUUCACAUCCUCAAGUAUCUCAGGGCAGUGGUUGCCUGAGUGUCCAGUGUCUCCACACUCCUCACAAGUCAUGUGAGAGUCGUAGAUGUGCAUAACUUCUUUCUUGUCUCCAGCUCUAUCGUCGAGCUUCUUCAUGAGCAGGUCUAGCUUUGCAGACAGCAUGUCUACCUCUUUCAGCUGAUGCAUACCUCCACCUCUCUUGCGUGUCUGGGUCCACUCUUCAUUCCAGCUUUGAUUGCACGCCAUCUUCUCCACAAGAGCUGUGGCUUGUGGUAUAGUAAGUGAUAAGAAUGCUCCUCCAGCUGCAGCAUCCAUGGUCUCUCGGGCACUGUUGCCGAGCCCAUGAUAAAACGUCUGCAUCAAUAGCCAACUCUCCAUUCCAUGAUGGGAACAUUCUAGGAUGUAGUCUUGAAAGCGCUCCCAUGCUUCUGGAAUAGAUUCAUCAUUUUGUUGCUGAAAACUUGUAAUCUUCCCACGGAGAGCAUUGGUCUUGCCUAUGGGAAAGAACUUAGCCAGGAAGUUUGUUGAGCAGAGUGCCCACGUAGUAUUGUUCUCCUUUGUAGCGUAGAACCACUGCUUCGCUCUUCCUAACAAUGAGAAUGGGAAGAGGCAAAGUAGUAUAGCAUCUUUGGAAACUCCUGAUAUGGUGAAUGUGUUGCAAAUCUCCAGGAAGUGUUGUAAAUGAGCACUAGCAUCUUCGUGUGCCUUCCCACAGAACUGGUUGGAUUGCACCAUGUUGAUAAGUCCAGGCUUGAGCUCAAAGUUGCCAUCGAUCUCUGCAGCAGGUCCAGUGCGGAUGUUGUCCGUAGUGGGAGCUGAGAACUCGCGGAUUGAUUUGUUUGCCAUGGCUUCGAACUCUGAAGACAAGUUCCGAUGAUCUUCUUGAUUGGAUGAAGCUUCUUGCUGAAGUGUUGAUGAUUUCUUUAGCUUGGCUCUCGUCUUCUUGAAUAAUGCUUCGGGAUUGUCAACAAAAUUUCCUGGAAGAUGUCUUCUAUUCAUACAUUCCCCUGCAUAAGAUGAAAUAGGAAAAUAUCGGGGUAAAACUGUAUGAGAGAAUAGAUAAGCUCAAUCAUAUUAGUGAUGCGAAUGAUAACUCAAAAUCUUUUAUUCCAUUCCUGAUUAGUAAUCAACCUUCCCCGGCAACGGCGCCAAAAAUGCUUGUUGGGUAUUCUUAACAUCAUUACCAAAAGUAGACUAAGUUCUCUAAAUCUAGUAACGGUGCAAAAAAUGCCAAACCUAUCCCUCACACCACUUAAGCCAAGUUGUCAUCCCCAGCAUGAUAUAAGAGACGCGGUAUUGAAAUAUGCAAUUGCUCUUCUAAAUAAAUAAUGAAUGGGAUCUGCAAGCGCACAGAUUAAUACCGAUGCAGCAUUUUAACCGGGAAGUAUUCCAGGUAUCGUUAUUUAUAUUUUUACCACUGGGAAGGGAUUAACAAUCAUCAAUAGUGAUUACAGAAUAGAAUAUGAGAUUGAGCAUCUAUCAUUGCAUGUAUAAUUGAGAACAUUAUAUCUAACUUUUCAUACAGGGAUAAGUGUCACAUAAAGGAUAUAUGAAAUAAUAAUAGUGACAAGGAUAACUAAUAUGAUCUAGCCACAUAAUAAAUAUGAUAAGCACCUCAAUUAGAUACUCUAGAAAGUCAUUAGCAUGGUAUUAGAACGAACUACAAGAAUAUUCCCUAAGUUAUUCUCAACUAUAUAGUCUAGCAUAUCAUAGUUAGUGCAAGCAUACUGUUGACGGUCCUUAAGUAUCAAAUUUAACUAUCAAAUAAACAAAGAAAAGGAUCCAAAUGAAAUCAACAUCGAGACUUAGGGUUUUAUCUAACAGAAUUCCACGAGUUUUGGUGUUUGUCUAUUUCUGCAGGGGGUUAUCAGGAAAUAAGGAAGAAAGGCCCACACGUCGGGAUUACAUAGAGAUAUCAACGUGCCGCACAAUUAUCUUACAUCUAGAAGACUCCAGAAGCCACGGGAAGGAAGCGGAGACCGAACGGAGUCAGGGACAGGGCGCCCGCCCAAGUCCUUAGGGCGCCCACCCACCUUUUUCGGCCAAUCACGCUCAAUCUCGUGGAUUAUGCUCCACCGACCUAAAGGAUCAAGAAUAACCGUUCAAUCAAUGUCGGUUUGAUCCGACGGCCCAGGUUCACUUGAGGAGACUAUAAAACCAGACCCCCUGGCCCCUGGAGGAGGCACCCCUUGAUCAUUAUUCAUUAUUCAUAGACAGAGCAAAAGCUAGGGUUUAGAGAUGAGAGCUCUCCUCUCUUCUCUAAACUAGAGUAGAUCUAGAUAGUAGCGAGAUGGAGAGCGAAGGAGGAUUAGAGGAGAGGCCGGCCUGUCGGUUCUUCCUCCGGUUGUACUUCGCCAUGAUCAAGCUCUAAUCAAGCUUGCUCAUGGGAUGACUCUGGUAAUCUACUUCUAAUUCAUUAUGCAAUUACUAAUCAUGUAUGUUCUGGUUCACAACUCUUUUGAGUACUUCUAAUCUAUAGGACCCUAUAGGUUAGAGUUGUAGUAUAGGUGUAAGCGUGGUGCUUAGACCUAGAUUACUUGUGGAUAUCCCCUGACUAGCUGGAUCGUGUGGUAGGCCGCGUAGGUGACAGUUACGUUGGUCCCCUGUAGUCCACCUCUCGUUAGCAGGACGGGUAGGGUUUAUCGGCCUAUGGAUAAGCAUCCUUUGUGGUGUACUCUUAUCACGUGGUUCGUCCCAGACAUAGACAUACCCCUUUGAAGUAGAGAAACCAUAGUAAUCCUGUCUAUUCUGCUACCAUCGCCCAUAUACUAGAAUUGCUCUACUCUCUAUUCCCAUAUUAUCACUCACUUUUAUCUUACCUUUAAUAUUGUUCUUAUUCGAUUCUACCAUCUUUCCUAUUCACACCUAUUUAAUUAUCUUGGUUAAGUUAGAGCGUAGAUCAGUUCUCCCGUUUCCCUGUGGAUACGAUAAAACCUUUAACUGGGUAAAAGCUUCUACGGUAUCCGUGCGCUUGCGGAUUAUCUGUGUGCGUAUAAAUACCAUAGUACACUCUAGUGCCACGCUGGGGAUGACAACCUAGUAUUCAAGUGGUGUUAGCAAGUGUCAACAAGCAUUUUUGGCGCCGUUGCCGGGGAAACGGUUGCUGAGUUGACUACGAACUAGUUUAAUCAUUUUAUAAAAAAUAAAUAAAUAAAAAAAUAUUUUCCUUUUAUCCUUUGCGUCAUCUCUGCUAUUCUUUCUUCUUAUCUAAUCCUUGAUCUCUGGUCUAUUAUGAAUUCAAACAUGUCUAUCUAUGAAUUUCAUAGACCUAUGGGCACACAUCUCGAACCACCAAAAUCUUCAAAGCCUAUCAUAGCAUCCAGUUUUGAGAUAGACCCCGAAUACAUAGAAUUUAUUCAAAAACAACCUUUCUCGGGAAAAGGUGAGGAAAACCCAUACACACACCUAAGAGAGUUUUAUCGAGUCUGUGACCUCCUUCGCAUAGAAGGCAUGUCCGAUGAGACCCUUAAAUGGAAGCUCUUUCCGUUCUCUUUAACGGGAAAAGCUAGACAUUGGUAUAAACUCAAAGUAGGGAGUGUUCAUGG
rnacentral:lncRNA from 1 species